CCGCCCUGUGCCUCGCUCGAUCUUUUAUUACUAUUAGGAGAUCUUGAGCUGGAUCAUUUUCAAAAUCAUCUAACAACAUUCUUUGAAUUCAUUGAUAGAUGGUCAAAUUUUGAAUCUUGAAUGGGCCAUAAUAACAUAAAAUCAUUCUUGAUUUUUUUAUGACAUCUUUUUGAGUACGAGAUUAUCGCCAUAUUAUAACGAUUAAUUUUGUAAUUAGAUUGUCAGACAUCU
rnacentral:snoRNA from 1 species